UAUCCCCACAUGAACCCAUGACAAUUGAAGGAUCUCUCCUAUAACCAUUCCUACUGCAGGCUAAAAAGCACCAUUACACUCAAGUCAAAUCCAGUUCAGGGUCCAGCUGCCACUGCGAUUUGUAACUCCCCAUGUGAUCUGUGAUGGAUCUAGGUCCAUUCUGCCAUAAAGGUGCAGAGUGAAAACUAAAUUAAAAAUAAACUGUGAACAUUCCUGCAGCACAGAGUCAGGGCUGACCGCAAACGUUCCCUGGGACAGAAAACACAUCAACUUUGCAUUCUUGCUGCCUUUGCCUUGUGUGAGGAUGACUGGAAAGGUCACGGAUAUAUUAAUGAACUGAAGGAAGUUGGUUUUCUUUUUCUGUGUUCAUGACACAUCCAUCCUUGUUAAACUGGUGAGUUUUAGGGGCAACUGGAAGUUUUUGGACUAAAUAAUGGAAUCCCUCAAAAAAAAGUUUAGGAUUCUUUUUCUGUGGCCAUGCCCUGUAUGUAGCCACUGAUGUGAAUGGAAGUCAGAUCAUAACUGGCAUUUUGUUUGUGCUUGCAUAGGAGAAAGCAACUGGGAAUUAUGUCCGUUGUUUGUAAGCACAAGUUUAACUGGGAUGACACUGAACUACUGAAAGAAUCUGAUUAACAGAUAUAAUACAUCAAUUUCCUGUAGUAAAGGCUAUCAAAGCCGUCAUUCUAAUUUUCUGCUUCUUUCACAGGGAGAGAAUGGUUUGAUUUUUUUAUCAUACCAAAGCUUGUCUUUUUCACUUUAUUUUUAUAAAAGACGUCUCUACAAUUAUUUCAUGGAAUGAUUCGUCUUUUGUCUAUUGUAAGGAAGCAAAAGGAUUUAUUUAGCUAAAUUUGCAUUCCCCUUUAACAUAAUACUGGGGGGCUUUGUGCUACAGUGGAUUAAAGCAGCAUCUGUUCUUCUCUGGAAACCUGGAGUCAAAUCACAGCAGUGCAGUGAAGUUGCCAUCUCUGUCUGUACCCUAAAUGGAACCUAAAUAAAAUUCAAAUGGAUUCCCAGAAGACACAAAAAGGGCAAUGUAAGUAAAAUAUUUUUGAUUAAGAAGUCUUGCUAAAAAAGUCCAUGAUCAGUAACUGUUUUUGCAUAACAGAGAUGCAUGAAUUAAAAAAAAAAAAGUAUUUACAUAACUUUUUACAAAAAAUGGCAGUAUACAAGAUACUAAAAGUGAACUUCCAAACAUUGGGCUGAUUCUGCUCUUGUAACUACACAGCCUUCCGAGGCAACAGAAAUAAAGCAGCAAACUCAGGAAUAUGAAUUUGACUUGUGGCCCAUACCCUGUUUAAAUACAAAUGACAUCUAAACAAAGCAUGGGUCAUAAAAGCAAUACACCAACACACUUUCCCUUUAACUCAUGAUCCACCUCCUCAUAAUUCCAGUUGCUCUGUGGAUGAGGCAGUGUCUGGGUUAGGGGCACAUCCUCACCAAUUUAAUGUAACAAACAGAGCAAUCAGGGCUCCACCUUGGUUACAGUUUCUGAGGUCUCCUGUAGUUCUGUUAUUAAAUAAAUAUGAAAAGAAAUAAUUGAUUGACAGCUGCUGUGAUUAAAAUAUGCCUGAUCAGAAAUUAAUGAUUAAAUUAUCAUUGGGUCCAACAGACAAAGAACCAUGCAAAUGCUGAAGAAGCAAAAAAAUUGCAUCCUGAAAGAUCUUUAUGAAUUAUGGUAAAUCCUUGCAAUGAAAAGGUACAACAAACCAGACUCAGGCUGUGGUGCUUCAUGACUUCUUUAAAAAUUCAAUAUUCAAAAAUACAGUACCUUAAACCCUCCUUUGCACCUCUCAGAGUCCUGCAGGAACUGGAAGGCUCAUUCAGAAAGCAGCUCCUCGCUUCCAGCACUUGCAUCCCAAGGUUUUGCUGGCUUUUGAACACCAGUGGUGUUAAAUACCACAGAACUGCAGUAUGUGAGCAGCUGUUUAAUACCUACAGGUAACAUCCACAAGUGCUGGCAUUCACCAUCAGAGCACUGACUACCUCUAGGCCACCUUUUAUUAUUCAUCUCCUUCUCACUGGUGUUCAGAGCAGGCACAGUUUGCAGGCAUCUUUAGAGCAAUCACCCAAAUACGCUAAUCAGCUACACUAUUAUGAGAUCUGCCUCUUCACAGAGUUGGAGACUUGAAUUGACAUCUUUCAACUACGGGGAAAACAUCAUCAGUGUAAAGGUAAACUCUUGUUUCAAAGAAGUUGUUGCAUCCAAAGUCCUUGCACUGCUCUUAAGGCCCUCAAAGGCAUGAAACAAUCCCAGGUUCCAAGCAAUAGAAAACUAUUCUCUUCAUGAAGACACAGUAAUGGGAGAAACACUUUCUACAGCCAUAUGAACAGAUUCUCUUGAAAGAUUUUUCAUUUUGCAAACAUGAAAUGGUCUCAGGGUGAAAAAACACAUAUAAGGCCAUGAAAUCCUAAGAAAUUACUUUCCAUUUCUCCAGAGGAACACCCUGCAAACCAUUGGUGAAGGCACCUUGUUCAGCAGAGAAGGUCUCCUUGCCCAGCAGGCACUCCUUCGCUCCAGUCCCCGCAACUUUCCAAUACAAGACUAACAGGAACAACAAAUCAGAGUUACUGUUCUACUCGGUAUUUACACUUUUCAGGAGAAAAACUGAAUCCCUGGGUUUCCUUGCCUGAAAGCUGCAAAUUAUUCCAUGAAACUGAACUGCAGGUUGUUUAUUAACUGCACCAGGAUUCCCAGAGGGCUUCUAAAGGGGCAAAGAAACUGAAUGCUUUUCAGAGCAUUCAGUUCACAGAGCACUAUGGCUUUCACUGGUUAGCUCCAAAUCUUGGAUUACAGUAUCCUGGAUGAUAAUGAAUUAUUUCAGAUUAGUAGAAAUAGGAAAAACAAAGGAUGAUAGAUGAUUUCACAUGAGAAAUAUGAACUUCUAUUAUGAGUUUCUAUUUAAUCAGAAGAAAAAAGCCCAGCUGAUUGAGAACAUAGAUUGUUACUUUGUAACAGCACUCUCAAUAUCUUUCAGGAACUAGAAUAAGCCAUCUCAACAGCAAAACCAAAUCUGGUACAAAAGUAGAAGUAAAAUGGAAAGUGGGUCAUUUUAUUCAGCAUGGCCAUAGUUCUCCCAAAGCACUUGAUAGAUGUAAUGAAUUCUGCAUUUAUAUGAAGGAUAUCUGCCACAGGAAUAGACACAGUUAAACACAACUGUCCAAACUAAGUACUCAGCAUUUCCUCUUUUAGCACAUCAGGCAGAAUAAUCAAGUUUAACUGAAAGGAAGUGCAUAGCAAUGUACAAACGGAGGAAAAAAGUCUGAAACAAUGAUGAAUAACAGAAUGUUACUGUGCAAUAGGCAAAUCUGUCACUAAAGUAACUGUUAUGAAUUAUGUUUUUAGCAAGCCAUGCAAAGGUAACAUCACUUAUGCAAACAUUACCAAGUCCACACAGGAAACUUACAUUAUUCUUUUCCUUAAGGGUAAAAAAUGGGCAGAAGGAUCAUUAAACGUGUGACUAAACUGUGCUAUGAAACACUUUAUCAAAAAACAUUUUGCCUUUCUUCUCUAGAAAAGCAACUGUUGCAUUCAUACAUAGUUACACUGAAUCCAGUCACUUCCUCCUUUUAUAUUCCAAACAUGCCCACACCCAAUUUAAGAUGUUUUCUAUCUUUAGCUAAGUUGAAAAAUUUUUAACAGUCAAACAGCUAAGCAUUUGGCUGAAUUACAUGGAAUAAACUUCCAUGAUGCAUUGGAGAUAAAUUCAUCUUGCAAGUGCACUGCAAGUGCAGGAUAACUUUUUUAGUUUACCAUAAAUUCACACACAGCAUCACACCAAAAAACUCGUUUGUGCAUGGAGUUUUCAGAUAGCUCAUGAACAGAGCUCUGUGUUGCUGUACUUUUGACAUACAUUAUUUUGGUUGUUAACAACAUCAUUACAAUAGGGACUGUAUGUUUUAACAUGACAAAUACCACUCACUGUUUCUCCUGCGUCAUUUAUUCAAGUAUCUGUACUUCAAAGACCUUUAAAUUAUACUUUUUUUUCUUUCCUUUUAUUUCCUGGCUGAGGGCACGAGUGGCAAAUGUUGAUUUACCCAUCUGACACGCCUUCUCAUGUAGCCAGGACAAGGCCAGGUCUCCGGCUGGCCCCAGACACCGGGAACAGCCUGUACCAGAGCUCUGCAGUAAAACCUACACUAAUUUGACACAAAUCAUGUGAUUCCUUUCUCCCUCCCGAAAAGCAGUGUUUACACAUCGGUGUUUGGAGCGGCACACGCCAGGUCAGCUCACAGUCUGCUGCCACAGCUCUGGAUUUAUGUCUCUGCCUGUCACCCACAGCCAGCACAGCGCAGCGGGGCGGCUUGGGACGCCGCGGUUAAACCACGGAGAUAAUUUAGCCGUCGGUCCUGCAGGGCAGACAGAGCCUCCGCCUGUCCCCGCUCCCGAUCCGGGACACAGGGAACGAGGUCCCGAUCGCCGCGACCCGGAGAUAUCCCGGGGACAGCGGGGCUGACCCCAGGAAUGUCACUGCAAGGCUUUAACCAGAUGCUAUUUAUGCGGUAAUGCACGCUUUCAACAUCUAAUGGUUAUACCCGCAGAACGUCUGGGAUCCACAACCCCACGUUUUUCUGGUCCUGACUCAAUGCCUCCUGCAUCAAGCUUCAUCUCUCCUUGUAAGCAGAGACAAAGCAGAGACAAAUUCAAAGCAGUUCUCAAAAGUCAACCUCCCAUUCAGAAACCAAUUUCCAUUUAGGAACCAAGUGCAGACAGUUUCAGCAUGGGCUGUGAAGAAGACAUAUUGGAAAAGGUGGCUGGAAAGCUCUGACCUCAAAACCAGACACAGAAUUUUCUGAAGAAUGUGCUUUUCUGAAGCCACUUCAAACACAAUCUUCCUUCUACAGAUACAACCACGCUAGAUCAGCAAAUAACCAAGCAAUACAAACACAUCCCAUUCCAAACACUGUGUGGAUAAUUGCUACAGAUGGCUUUCCCCCCAUCAAUGUCAAGCAUCCAAAAUUCCCAAUUUAGUUUCAGCCAUUCUGGUACAGUUUUUGUUAGAUCACUUCUUGCUUGAAUAAGUCAUUAAAAUUUAAAGUAGAGAUUAAAUGCCCAAAUCAUCUACACAUUUAAGAUCUCACAUGUAUUUCAACAAGGAGAAUUAAACACAGAAAAACAAAGUCUUGCUGCACUAUGCAGACAACAUUGUGGUUUCUGAGUCGAGGCAGCCUGUUGCAGUUAUUUUUGGAGGGAUUUUUUGUGAAUGUUUCAACAUUCCAAAACCAUUUUAAUUCAACCAUAAUCAAUAGUGUACAUUCAAUUUUCCCUCAGGUAACAACAACUGUAAUCCACACUGCACAAUCCACCCUGUCUCAGGUGGUGAUUUAGAACAGACCUCCAGGUCUAUGACUUCUUAGGACAAUUUUUGGUGGCACAUAGCUAAGUUUCUUUGCCGUCCUGAUGGCAGAGGUGCUGAACCUCUGAGAGCUGAUGUUUCAGGCCCCAGAAGACAGGGGCAGGAGAGGCUCUUCUACCAAUGCAGAGCCAAACAUGGGCUUCUAUAGCACUUUAUUACUCUGCACUUUGCAUAGGAAGCUUUGGCAGAAUCAAUAGGAUGUAUAGUCUCUGUUGUCCUCCUGCUGCUAUUUUGACUAACUAGCAAUUUUGCUUUUUUGCUAACUAGCAAUAGUUUCCACUAAGAUAUUGUACAAAUAUGUAGUGCAGUGUAAGAAGGUCAAAAAGUAACUUUUCAUGUCCUACUAUGCUUAUUCCCAGCAAUUUGUUAGAGCACAACAUGAAGUGAUCUUUGCUUCAUUAGAUCAACUUGACUUAAGCCAAAAUGAAGAACCUGUGAAAUCUCUCUGAAGAGCAAGUAAACAAAGAUUCUAAAGCAUGAUUUUACAGUCUCCAGACCAGCCCAGAAGUAUGAGGGAAAUAAUUGUGAAGCAAGUGGGCUGACUGACCACAGGAAGAGCUUAUUGUGACAAGCAGCUCACUCACUGUAGCUGCUGCUUCAUUCACUUUGGACCACUGCAGUUUCCAGCCAGUUGCUCAACAAGCAGCACUCUCAAAUGACAAUAUCUCAGCAGUGAAUGACUCCCUCAGACCAUUCAAUCCUCCCUGCUAAAGCUAACCCUAUUUUAUUUCUAAUACAGAAAUAUAAUUAAACCUUAGAUUAAAUGCAA